rnacentral:rRNA from 1 species
AGGGAAUAGAUACCCAGGUAGUCCUGGCAGUAAACGGUGCACGUUUGGUGUGGGCGCAAUCGACCGCGUCCGCGCCGGAGCUAAACGCGUUAAACGUGCCGCCUGGGAAGUACGGUCGCAAGAUUAAAACUCAAAGAAAUUGACGGGGACCCGCACAAGCGGUGGAGUAUGUGGCUUAAUUCGAUGCAACGCGAAGAACCUUACCUGGUCUUGACAUGCAUUGUGUCUCCGGUGAAAGCCGGAUAGGGUAGCAAUACCCGCUUUGCACAGGUGCUGCAUGGCUGUCGUCAGCUCGUGUCGUGAGAUGUUGGGUUAAGUCCCGCAAUGAGCGCAACCCCUGUGAUUUGUUGCCACCGGCUUAUGCCGAGCACUCGAAUCAGACUGCCUCGAUCAACGAGGAGGAAGGUGGGGAUGACGUCAAGUCCGUAUGGCCCUUACGACCAGGGCUGCACACGUACUACAAUGCCCAGUACAAUGUGAACCGAGACCGCGAGGUGGAGGAAAUCAAUAAAACUGGGCUCAGUU